UGGGUGGAUAUAGAUACGGCAGUGGUGCUGGUGUUGACAGGAGGAUGGUGUAGACAGAGGAGAGGUGAUGGUAUAGAUGGGUGGAUAUAGAUACGGCAGUGGUGCCGGUGUUGACAGGAGGAUGUAGACACAGGGGAGGUGAUGGUGUAGAUGGGUGGAUAUAGAUACGGCAGUGGUGCCGGUGUUGACAGGAGGAUGGUGUAGACAGAGGAGAGGUGAUGGUGUAGAUGGGUGGAUUGUGUACACGGGGUGCUGGUAUAGCUGAGGCAGUGGCGAUUGUCUAGACAGGAGGAUGGUGUAGAUGGAGGGGAGGUUGUGGUAUAGACAGGGUGGUAAAGCUCUGGAUGGGAGGAUGGGGUAGAUGACAUCCUCACCAUGGCUGCUGUACCCCACACAGAGACCACAGGAAACCCGUCUCCUGGGUGAGCUCUCACAGCAGCUGGUGUACCCCACACGGCGACCAUGGGAACCCCCUCCCGGUGUACCCCACACGGAGACCGCGGAAGGCCCCUCCCCUGGGCGCGUGCUCACCGCAGUUGGUGUACCCCACCACGGAGAUCACGGGGAACUCCCGCCUCGUCCGCUGCCGGCGGAGCAGGUGCCUCUUCUUGCGAAGCCUGUCCAGGGCCUUCCUGAUCUUGGCCUCCUUCUCUCUCAGGAGACG
rnacentral:lncRNA from 1 species